rnacentral:tRNA from 1 species
ACCUUCGUGGUGAAAUUGGUAGACACGCAUCGUUGAGGUCGAUGUGCCGUUAGGCUUGCCGGUUCAAGUCCGGUCGAAGGUA